ACAGGAGCGUUCAGUCGCUACUAAAAGAAAAGCAGUCGGGGCUGCCUGUUUGCCUCACUUCCGUGAGCUGGGCUUCGUGCUAUGUUUUCACGACCCACAGGAUUUGCAUUUCGUUUACACGAAGGUCCUGAAAGACAGCAGCAGCCCAUGGUCACACUCGGCUAGCAAUACAACAAGCUUUUAAAAUCAAUCCUGCUGAAAUUGAAAUCACAAUUCUGGUUACCUAUAGAAGACAGAAGACUGAUUACAAUAUUGCAAUGUGCAUUGAGUUGUUUAAGAAUGUGACAGAAGAAAAAGGAAAUUCUGGAGAUUCCUUAAAAAGCUUUUCCCACAGGUCUAGCCAUCGCACAGUUUUUGGAAUCGGGGUUUGUUAUCGCUAAGAAACAAGGAAACUUUCUCUGAUGGGGGAAAAUUUUGCAAGGGAUCCCUUUGCCAGUAUUUGUUCUUGCAAAUCUCGAGGACUCCUGCAAUACAACUUGGUGUGAGGCCUCUUCUACUGUGCCUUGGCAGUGAAUGCCUUCUCCCGAGCCAGAUGCACAUAAAGAAUAAGUAGCUUCAGAUGCCAUUUUCAUUUCUUUUUUACAUUGCACUUACUAUUUUAUUUUGUUUGUAAUCAUCUGAUUCUGCCAGCCCCACCUAAUCUCAAUCUAUGAUAAUAAUGAAGAGUAGGUGUGAUUGGCAGAGUUGACAUUGUCACGUGAUUUCAAUGGAAUGCAAUGGAGGAAGACUGUUCCUCUCAGAAUGUAGGCUACUCCUGAUAAGAUCAAAGGCAAUCAAAGGCAGAUUUAGAGAAAAAUGAUAAUGACUCAGCAUUGCAGCAACAUAACUACAUUUUAAAUGUUUUAAAAUGGCUUAGUGUGACUAGUUUUCAUUUUCUAUGUUCUGUGUUAUUUUGUGUAAAUGUUUGUUGGGCACAUACUGUUUUUACACAUUUUUUUAUCUGAAUUGUGUUUGUUUCUGUGAAGCCUUGUGAUUUAUAAUCUGUGACCUGGUUUUAUUUGAAAAUGUGUACACGACUUCAUAGCGGUGAGGGGACACGAACAAUUGCUGAUUUUUAUAACAAAACUUUUCCCAGAACCCUACAUGUUAUUAAUAGAUCUACAGUAGGAGCAUAGUCAUUUUAAUUCACACAUUGGUGUGUUAGGGAAAACACCUUUCUAGUUAUUAUUAUUAUAAACAACAUUUAUGUGGGACAUAUUCCCUGAAUAUUAUAUUAAUACCUGACCGUGUAUUAAUGAUGUAACUGGACUAAUUAAUGAGGAAAAAAGCAAACUGCCGUGUCUUAGGAAAAAGAGCAAACUGCUGUGUCUUAAGAAAAAGGGCCCCUUGGUUCCUGGCAGGAAUACUGAACUGAAGAUGACCAGGGCUAGGAGGGGGGCAUCUGGACUGGGUGAGGCUGAAAGGGCAGUGAAGAGACUGCAAAACUGCAAAAACAAGCGGUUUGGUGCAAGGAAGACAUAAAAUAUAGAUGUCAGCAAGUCCCAAUUGCAACAACAAGCUGCUGGACGAAAGGAAGCAGACAAAGGACAUUUAAAAAGGCAAGAUACACAAAUGAUCUCAUGAAAGUGGCUACUCAGCAGAGGACUAUAAAUAUCCAAGCAAAACUAAACAUUUUGCGCUCCACAUCGAAUGCUAAACAAGGUGCUGUCACUCUGCUAAGCAAAGCUGCAACUCUGGGACUCUGCCUAAAAACGGACCCAAGGUGAGGAAACAAGCUGCAAGCGAGUCAACGACCACAAGCAACGAAACUGAGGCCCGUUUGGAGGACUGCUGUAAAACCUACAGAGACUGUUAUAAGACAAACCGUCUGGGUCUGCUGUACACCUAAAACCACAGUAUCCAAAAGAAACUAUACCCUGCUACCUGCGUAGCUAAAAGGUUCAGCGAAGAGGACAGAGCAGACGGGCGCUGUUGUAGAUCCUAACCGAGGGAUGAAGAUUUUGUUGCAGCUGUUUGUUGAUUCUAUCGAGAAUUGAAAGCUUUGUUUUUGCUGAGUUUGAUCCAAUGUAGGAUUGAAGACUUCAUUGCUGAGAGGAGAGCCUUUUGUACUGGACACUUCAACAGAUUGAGUUUCCAAACCAGCAGACCAAAAGUCUAAGCUUCAAGGAAACGUUGAGUAUAAUUCCAGUUGCAUUUUCCUUUCAUGGAACUAAAUUAAUUAAUUGUAACACAUUCACAUAGAAUUGAACUAUUAAUUAUUUAGUUUGCACACUUUGCGUGUGAAAUAACUUUUAGUGAAACUAACUUUUAGUGAAGUAACUAUAAGUAAUCUACCUCAUAUUGUUGUAUGAAGAAUUUCUUUAAAAGUAAACUUGUCAUAUCCUUAAUCUCUAUACCAUUAAUAAGCUUAAUGUGAUAUAUUCUAAGAUUGUCUGCAUAAUUUCAGUUUGUAUGUGGGUAUGUAUGUGUGUGUGCAAGUUACUAGCUACAUCACAGCUUGCUUGAGCUGCUGCUUUGUGUGUGAGGAGACAGGCGGUGUCAUAUUUCAAUUGCCUGCUAGCCAGCAUGAGUGCAGUGAGAGUUUUGAAUUGUGUUUUGUGUUUAGAGACUAAGAGAUUUACUUUCUGAAUUUUCUAAUUUCUGUUUAUUAUUUGUUUACUUAAUAAACUACUCUUGAUUAAUCAUUCCUUGUGUCUGCGCGUGU